ensembl:lncRNA
CAGGAGUAUCCCUUGGGCAAGUAUCCAGGCAUGUUGUUGUGUCAACAGAUGCCUCCGCCAGGGGCUGGGGUGCCAUGUGCAGUGGGAAUGCAGCUGCGGGGCUCUGGUCGGGGCCCCGACUACAGUGGCAUAUCAACUGCCUCGAGUUGCAAGCAGUAUGGCUGGCUCUGCGCCGCUUCAAAUCGCUGCUACACGACAAGCACGUACUGGUCCGUACGGACAACACUGCGACCGUUGCGUACAUCAACCACCAGGGCGGUCUACGCUCCCGUCGCAUGUCGCAACUCGCCCGCCAUCUCCUCCUCUGGAGUCAGAAGCAUCUGAGGUCGCUUCGCGCCAUUCACAUCCCAGGCGAGCUCAAUCGUGCAGCCGACGAGCUCUCACGUCAGCCCGCCCCUCCGGGAGAAUGGCGACUCCACCCCGAGACAGUCCAGCUGAUUUGGAGACGCUUUGGGGACGCUCAGGUAGACCUGUUUGCCUCCCCGGACACGUCCCAUUGCCAGUGGUUUUACUCCCUGGCCGAGGGACCCCUCGGCACGGACGCACUGGCGUGCAGCUGGCCUCGGGGCCUACGCAAAUAUGCGUUUCCCCCAGUGAGCCUUCUCGCACAGACACUGUGCAAGGUCAGGGAGGACGAGGAGCAGGUCCUCUUGGUGGCGCCAUACUGGCCCAGUCGGACUUGGUUCCCCGAACUGAUGCUCCUCGCGACAGCCCCUCCUUGGCGAAUUCCUCUGAGGAGGGAUCUCCUUUCUCAGAGAGGGGGCACCCUCUGGCACCCGCGUCCAGACUUGUGGAAUCUCCACUUAUGGUCCCUGGACGGGACGCGGAGGUUCUAGGUGGGCUACCUCCAGCGGUAGUAAACACCAUCGCUUCAGCUAGAGCCCCGUCUACCAGACACGCUUACAGGCUGAAGUGGAACCUGUUCGUCGGUUGGUGCUCUUCCCGCCUGGAAGACCCCCGUAGAUGCCCGAUCGCAGUCGUGCUUUCUUUCCUGCAGGAUGGCUUGGAGCGAAGGCUGUCUCCCUCCACCCUGAAAGUGUAUGUUGCCGCCAUUGCCGCACAUCACGAUGCAGUAGACGGUAAGUCUCUAGGGAAGCACGACCUGAUCAUCAGGUUUCUCAGAGGGGCAAGGAGGCUAAAUCCUCCGCGCCCUCACCUAUUACCCUCUUGGGAUCUCCCCUCGGUCCUCAUGGCCCUGAAGGAGGAGCCCUUCGAGCCUCUGCAGUCAGUAGAGCUUAAGGUUCUGUCAUUAAAGACAGCGCUCCUCACCGCUUUGGCCUCGGUCAAGAGGGUAGGGGACCUGCAGGCAUUCUCGGUCGACGAUUCGUGCCUAGAAUUCGGGACGGGUAACUCUCACGUUGUCCUGAGACCCCGGCCCGGAUAUGUGCCCAAAGUUCCCACCACGCCUUUCAGGGAUCAGGUGGUGAACUUGCAAGCGCUGCCCCGGGAGGAGGCAGACCCAGCCAUCGCUCUGCUCUGUCCCGUUCGCGCUUUGCGCAUUUACGUGGACCGUACGCGGAGCUUCAGGACCUCAGACCAGCUCUUUGUCUGCUUUGGAGGUCAGCAGAAGGGAAAGGCUGUCUCCAAACAAAGACUUGCCCACUGGUUAGUGGAGGCUAUAGUCUUGGCAUACCAGGCCCAACGUUUACCAUGCCCCCUCGGAGUGAGAGCUCACUCUACGAGAGGAGUGGCAUCUUCGUGGGCAUUGGCGCGGGGCGCCUCGAUAGCAGACAUCUGUAGAGCUGCCGGCUGGGCGACGCCUAACACGUUUGCGAGAUUCUAUAAUCUCCGUGUAGAGCCCGUGUCCUCUCGUGUACUCGCCUCAGGUAGGCAGUAACACCGGACCUGCUCGGUGUCGAUCACGCUUGCUGCGCCAUUCCCCUCUACGGACCGGAUACGUGCGCUCUUGUGCUCCUCAUUCAGUUCCCCAUGGCGAACCCUGGUGGAGUUCCUCCCGCACCCUCGGCGGUCAGGCGU